rnacentral:tRNA from 7 species
AAUUCUCUAGCUUAGUUGGUAAAAUACAAGGCUCUUAAACUUGUGGUCAUGGGUUCGAGCCGCACGGUAGGCG